AACUUUUGGCAACGGAUCACUUGGCUCUCGCAUCGAUGAAGAACGCAGCGAAAUGCGAGACGUAAUGUGAAUUGCAGAAUUCAGUGAAUCAUCGAAUCUUUGCACGCACCUUGCGCUGCUUGGUAUUCCGAGGAGGAUGCCUGUUUUAGUGUCAUUAAAUUCUCAACCGUUGUCAGCUUUUGCUUAUAAGGGCUUGGAUAUGGGGGUCUAUUUUGCUGGCUUCUUUACGGAUGGUCAGCUCCCCUUAAAUGCAUUAGCCGGUGCCCCGCGUGGACUGUCUAUUGGUGUGAUAAUUAUCUACGCCGUGGACAUCUGCAAUCAUAUGGGUUGGCACUGCUUCCAACCGUCUGUUCAAUCAGACAAUACAUGACAAUUUGACCUCAAAUCAGGUAGGACUACCCGCUGAACUUAAGCAUAUCAAUAAGCGGAGGCU
rnacentral:misc_RNA from 1 species